UGGGAGGGACUGCAGACACAAACUGGGGACACUGGGACAAACCGGGAUGGACUGGGGACACCAAGACCAAAACUGGGGAUACUGGGAUGUAACUGGGACACAGACUGGGCAAACUGGGAUGGACUGGGACACCAACUGGGGACACUGGGACACCGUGGAGGACAUCAGAGACCAACCCCCGCCACCACCCGGCCCUGCUGGUGGACCCCGGAUGGGGACACUGGGGACACUGGGGACAUUUUGGGGACACUGGGGACAUCAUGGUGGACACCGAGGGACAUCUGGGGACAUUGGGGACAUCACUGGGGACAUCACUGGACAUUUGGGGACAUCGAGGACCCGUCCAUGUCCCCGAAUUGGGGACACCUGAGGACAUCAUCGUGGACCCCACCUGGGGACAUUUGGGGACAUCAGAACCCGCCUUUGGACCCCACUGCAGCACUGGGGACACUUUGGGGACAUUUUGGGGACAUUUUGGGGACUUUUGAGGACUUCGGGUCCCGCCCUUGGACCCCACUGUGGCCUUGGGGACAUUUUUGGGACAUUUUCAGAACAUUUGGGGACAUCAGGACCUACCUUUGGACCCCACGGUGGCCUUGGGGACAUUUUUGGGACAUUUUGGGGACAUUUUCAGAACAUCUGGGGACAUCAGGACCCACCUUUGGACCCCACGGUGGCCUUGGGGACAUUUCAGGGCAUUUUGGGACAUUUUGGGGACAUCAGGACCCACCUUUGAACCCCACUGCAACACUGGGGACAUUUUGGGGACAUUUUGGGGACAUUUUGGGGACUUUGGGUCCCGCCCUUGGACCCCACUGUGGCCUUGGGGACAUUUUGGGGGACAUCGGGACCCACCUUUGAACCCCACUUCAACUUUGGGGACAUUUUGGGGACAUUUUCAGAACAUCUGGGGACAUCAGGACCUACCUUUGGACCCCACGGUGGCCUUGGGGACAUUUGGGGACAUUUUUGGGACAUUUUCAGAACAUCUGGGGACAUCAGGACCCACCUUUGGACCCCACAGUGGCCUUGGGGACAUUUCGGGGCAUUUUGGGACAUUUUGGGGACAUCAGGACCCACUUCUGGAGCCCAUGGUGGCCUUGGGGACAUUUUGGGGACAUCAGGGUCCUGCUCCUGCCAUGGCCACGUGCUCCUCUUGGUCCCCAAUUUGGGACAUUUUUUGGACAUUUUGGGGACAUCAGGACCCGCCCCCACCUCGGCGUCCCCAGAAUGGGGGGGGACCCCAAAAUUGAGAUUUGGGGACACCCCUGGACUUUGGGGACCCCAAAAUGGGACGGGGAGACCCUAAAAUGGGAUAUGGGGACCCCCCGCAGGACAUUGGGGACACCCCAAAAUUUUGGGGACCCCAAAAUUGGAUUUGGGGACCCCAAAAUGGGAUUUGGGGACGCUAAAAUUGGAUUUGGGGAACCCUCCCCAGGACACUCCUCACCCUCAAGGACCCAAAAAUAGAAUUUUGGGGAUCCCCCCCCCAGGAUUUUUAGGACACUCCAGGAUUUUGGGGACCCCCCCCGGGACAUCGGGGACCCCAAAAUUAAAUUUGGGGACCCCCCCCCCAACCCGGACAUUGGGGACCCCAAAUUUGGGGGAUUUUUGGGAUUUUGGGGAUCCCAAAUGGGGACAUUGGGGUGCCCCCGAUGACGUCACAGGGGGUUUCCCCCUUUUCCCCUCCCCCCCCCCCCCCAAAAUUUCGGCAAUAAAACCCGGGGGGUUCCCCCCCCCGUGAUGACG
rnacentral:lncRNA from 1 species